ACAGCAGCCGCCGCGGUAAUGCAGAGGGUGCAAGCGUUAAUCGGAAUUACUGGGCGUAAAGCGCGCGUAGGUGGUUUGUUAAGUCGGAUGUGAAAUCCCUGAGCUUAACUUAGGAAUUGCAUUCGAUACUGGGAAGCUAGAGUAUGGGAGAGGAUGGUAGAAUUCCAGGUGUAGCGGUGAAAUGCGUAGAGAUCUGGAGGAAUACCGAUGGCGAAGGCAGCCAUCUGGCCUAAUACUGACGCUGAGGUACGAAAGCAUGGGGAGCAAACAGGAUUAGAUACCCCUGUAGUCCCUGUCUCUUAUAA
rnacentral:rRNA from 1 species